UUUGAUUAUGGCUCAGGACGAACGCUGGCGGCGUGCCUAAUACAUGCAAGUCGAGCGGACAGAAGGGAGCUUGCUCCCGGAUGUUAGCGGCGGACGGGUGAGUAACACGUGGGUAACCUGCCUGUAAGACUGGGAUAACUCCGGGAAACCGGAGCUAAUACCGGAUAGUUCCUUGAACCGCAUGGUUCAAGGAUGAAAGACGGUUUCGGCUGUCACUUACAGAUGGACCCGCGGCGCAUUAGCUAGUUGGUGAGGUAACGGCUCACCAAGGCGACGAUGCGUAGCCGACCUGAGAGGGUGAUCGGCCACACUGGGACUGAGACACGGCCCAGACUCCUACGGGAGGCAGCAGUAGGGAAUCUUCCGCAAUGGACGAAAGUCUGACGGAGCAACGCCGCGUGAGUGAUGAAGGUUUUCGGAUCGUAAAGCUCUGUUGUUAGGGAAGAACAAGUGCAAGAGUAACUGCUUGCACCUUGACGGUACCUAACCAGAAAGCCACGGCUAAAUACGGUGCCAGCAGCCGCGGUAAUACGUAGGUGGCAAGCGUUGUCCGGAAUUAUUGGGCGUAAAGGGCUCGCAGGCGGUUUCUUAAGUCUGAUGUGAAAGCCCCCGGCUCAACCGGGGAGGGUCAUUGGAAACUGGGAAACUUGAGUGCAGAAGAGGAGAGUGGAAUUCCACGUGUAGCGGUGAAAUGCGUAGAGAUGUGGAGGAACACCAGUGGCGAAGGCGACUCUCUGGUCUGUAACUGACGCUGAGGAGCGAAAGCGUGGGGAGCGAACAGGAUUAGAUACCCUGGUUGUCCACGCCGUAAACGAUGAGUGCUAAGAGUUAGGGGGUUUCCGCCCCUUAGUGCUGCAGCUAACGCAUUAAGCACUCCGCCUGGGGAGUACGGUCGCAAGAGGACACUCGAAGGCACACUUACCGGGGCUGCUCCACAACCGGUUUGCAGUGGCCAAUUCGAAGCAACGCGAAGAACCUUACCAGGUCUUGACAUCCUCUGACAACCCUAGAGAUAGGGCUUUCCCUUCGGGGACAGAGUGACAGGUGGUGCAUGGUUGUCGUCAGCUCGUGUCGUGAGAUGUUGGGUUAAGUCCCGCAACGAGCGCAACCCUUGAUCUUAGUUGCCAGCAUUCAGUUGGGCACUCCAAGGUGACUGCCGGUGACAAACCGGAGGAAGGUGGGGAUGACCUUCAAAUCAUCAUGCCCCUUAUGACCUGGGCUACACACGUGCUACAAUGGACAGAACAAAGGGGUGUGAGUCCGCAAGGUUUAGCCAAUCCCACAAAUCUGUUUUCAGUUCGGAUCGCAGUCUGCAACUUGAUUGGGUGAAGCUGGAAUCGUCUAGUAAUCGCGGAUCAGCAUUCCGCGGUGAAUACGUUCCCAGGGCAUUGUACACACCGCCCGUCACACCACAAGAGUUUGCAACACCAGAAGUCGGUGAGGUAACCUUUAUGGAGCCAGCCGCCGAAGGUGGGGCAGAUGAUUGGGGUGAAGUCGUAACAAGCUAGCCGUA
rnacentral:rRNA from 1 species